CAUAUUAAUCAUUCGAUGUUACGAAACAUCGCGUACUUAUAAAUUAUCGAAACCCAUACUUAUGGGAAAGCCGUUUACUUCCAAUCGUAUAUAACGACGCAGAACGUUUCGUGCACAGGAUGAUGUAUUCGCAGGGUCCGACAAUUUAUUUCCCGUGCGCGCGCGUUAUGAUUGCGAUACGAUAUAAUUAUGAAAUCCCGCGGAUGCACACACCUUCUUGUAUUAUUACCGCAGAGACGCGCGUACAACAAUCAUUACGACGCGUUUACAUCCAAACGAAAGCAAUGAACGAAACAAACUACAAAGCCUAUCAUCGCACAUUUAUCCGCGGUCGCACUAGAUCAUAAUAAAAAAUAAGUAUAUAUAUAUAUAUAUAAAUA